UUUCAUUGAAUGUGUAUAUUAAUCUGUAUUAUUUGUAUAUGUGUUAACCAAUAAACUAAACUAAACUCUGGAAACUGAUGAGUUUAUCUAAAGGACCACCUCCAGUGCUGCUGUAGAGUUUCUGACUGAACAGCUGUUUGUUGUGAAUGUUCACUUCAGCCUCAGCUGCAGCUGGCCGCCUCCAAGACACUGGUGUGUGUGUGUGUGUGUGUGUGUGUGUGUGUGUGUGUGUGUGUGUGUGUGUGUGUGUGUGUGUGUGUGUGUGUGUGUGUGGUGUGUUUGGCUGGAGGAUUAGUGGCGAGCCAGCUGCUGCAGCUUUGAAGUGAACUGAAAGGAGCCAGUCAGAUGAACGGAGAAACACCCCGACCUCAAACACACUGCAGGUGUCGGUACUGAAGUCCAAAAAGAUGAAGGAAAAAGGGGAUGCAUGCGGAGAAGAGGAAAAGGGAAUCGGAGGAGAACAUUUGGAAAGAGGGGAAUAUAAUAUGGGAAGAACAAAGAAGAGAAGAGUGGAGAGGAGGCAAAGUGUGGCAAGACACUGAAAGAAGGGAUGGAAAUUAGGACAGAGGAGGAGCAAACCCGACUCCUCUCUGUAUUCAUCUCUCCUUUCCAUGUAAAGGGGGGGGAGAAGAGGAAAGGGAGGGAGAAAAGAUGAUGAGAGAAAGGAAGAGAGGGAAUGUGGGGAAGAAGACAAAGAAGAAGGAAGAGGAUGGCAAGGAUGAGGGGAGAACAGAGAAAAAGGCUGAUGAGAUGACAGGAAGGUAUGGAGAAAAAA